CGUCGAUGUGCGCGAGAGGCGAGGACUGGACCCGAAGCUGCACUCAACCCCCGGCAGCGCCUCCGCUUUCAAAGGAACGACGGAGGGGGAGACGGGCCAUAUAGGGCGUCACCGUGGACACAGAGGGGGGAAACACUGGAGAGUAAUUGAAUAUGGACUAGAACACAAGUAGGGUGUAGUCACCAGCCCUGAUCCCAAAUGCAUGGCUCAACCAUCUGAAGAGAGAAUGAUGGGGGAGUCGCAGAACCACUCCUCCAUUCUCACCCCAGCUCGUCACACGGCAAAACGACGCCGGUGUCCCGUGAAAGCGACUGCCUCUUCAUCUUGGUCCACACGCCACGUAUAUUUUCCCAUUCACCUUUCUGAUGAUAAUACGCCGCAAUAUCCACGAUAAGGAAAUGCCUGGAAUCACCAGCCACGCCGGUUUAUGCAUCGGACAACACAUUGUCCGGUCGUGCACAGAGACCAUGGAGACAGCUGUCAGUGACUGACAUUUCCAUCAAUGAUCUCAAUUAGCUGGAAAGCACAAGUAGUAGGAAGGUUUCCAUUAGCUUUGCAGUAAAUGAAACGACGUUAGAAGAAAUAAGGACAAAAAGAUGAGGUUGACACCAGCGAGGGAAAGGAGGACUCAGCCACUUGGAAGACUCCAUAUAUAUACACACGUGUGUGUGUGAAAUAUUGAAAAUAUAAAGUUCAAUGAUGUCAUAAUGAAUUGACACCAUCAGUGUAAAUUAAAAGUUUGAAUGCAAAAAUCAACCUGUCACGGUUUGGGUUCACGUCCCGUUUUAUUUUGUAGUUUCAUGCCUCUGGUGCUCCUGGGUUAACGUCACUUCCUGCCUUGUCCUGUCUUCCCCUGUGAUUGUCUGUCAUGUCAUGAUUGUUUCCACCUGUGUCCAAUCACCUGCACCGUCCCAGUGUAUUUAAGCCAUGUGUGUCCCAUUGUUGAAAUGUUCUACCUUGAGUGUUCCCGGUUCCUGUCUCGAUUUGUCCCCCAUGGCAUUUUGAUUUGGAGUCUCUGCGUUUUGCCCCGUUGGCUUUCUUGAUUUUGAAUUUUGACUAUUAAAGUCUUUUUGCUUUUCAA
ensembl:lncRNA